AUGAUCGAAUUUGACUGGACCGCGGAGGAAUUCUUUUGGGUUGAUGAAGUUGGAACUUUUUAUAGGCAGCUGGUUCUGAAGUGGGAGUAUAAAAUGGCAUGGCCUGGCAAACUCACUUGUAGUUGUAGCUGCUUAUUUCUCUAUGGAUUUCAAGCAUAUGCGAAAAGAAGAUGCAUGUAUGUUAGUGACACCUGCUUCAUGAAGAUUGAGCUUUAUUUUGUUUUGGAUUGUGCUAAAUUAAACGGAAACUUUCUGCAGCAAUCUUUCACUCAGAUCAAUGCAGCAAUCUUUGUAUAA